UACACAUUUCGCUGAAAAAAUUUAGUUUUUAAAGAUUUUUGACAAUUUUAGAUUUUUUACUUGAAAAGUCAGUAUUGGAAGUGUCUAAUCAAGAGUUUGUACUUGCGGCAUCAAAAAAUCGAGUAUAGGUUAGAUGAACAGAAAUGGAGGCUACUUUAUCAACGUGUGAAUCACGAAAGCGAAAAAGCAUUAACCUCGAAAAAAGCUUGUCCAAAUGAUAUCUUUUUCACGACAACUCUCGAUCGUAUACAGUCGCUGCAAUAUGCACUAUUAAUUACAUCGUUUAAUGUAAUAGAUUGAACAGAAAAUCGAACCAGAACCUACCUCUGAUCACGCUGCGAGAACACGGAAACGCACAGAAA
rnacentral:lncRNA from 13 species